rnacentral:rRNA from 1 species
CAGCAGCCACGGUAAUACUGAGGGUGCGAGCGUUAAUCGGAUUUACUGGGCGUAAAGCGUGCGUAGGCGGCUUUUUAAGUCGGAUGUGAAAUCCCUGAGCUUAACUUAGGAAUUGCAUUCGAUACUGGGAAGCUAGAGUAUGGGAGAGGAUGGUAGAAUUCCAGGUGUAGCGGUGAAAUGCGUAGAGAUCUGGAGGAAUACCGAUGGCGAAGGCAGCCAUCUGGCCUAAUACUGACGCUGAGGUACGAAAGCAUGGGGAGCAAACAGGAUUAGAUACCCGAGUAGUCCCUGUCUCUAUACA